GUAAAAGUGGUAGCAGCGGAGGCGAGCGGAGGGUUUCCCGCGGCGGAGGGUGACAUGCCAUGCCGUGCCAACAUCCUGGUCACAGAGUUGUUUGACACAGAGCUGAUCGGGGAGGGGGCGCUGCCCUCCUAUGAGCACGCACACAGGCAUCUCGUGGAGGAAAAUUGUGAGGCCGUGCCCCACAGAGCCACCGUCUAUGCACAGCUGGUGGAGUCCAGGAGGAUGUGGUCGUGGAACAAGCUAUUUCCCAUCCACGUGCAGACCAGCCUCGGAGAGCAGGUCAUCGUCCCUCCCAUGGACCUGGAGAGCUGCCCUGGCGCACCCUCUGUCUGUGACAUUCAGCUGAACCAGGUGUCACCAGCCGACUUUACAGUCCUCAGCGAUGUGCUGCCCAUGUUCAGCAUAGACUUCAGCAAGCAAGUCAGUAGCUCAGCAGCCUGCCAUAGCAGGCGGUUUGAACCUCUGACAUCUGGCCGAGCUCAGGUGGUUCUCUCGUGGUGGGACAUUGAAAUGGACCCUGAGGGGAAGAUCAAGUGCACCAUGGCCCCCUUCUGGGCACACUCAGACCCAGAGGAGAUGCAGUGGCGGGACCACUGGAUGCAGUGUGUGUACUUCCUGCCACAAGAGGAGCCUGUGAUGCAGGGCUCAGCGCUCUAUCUGGUAGCCCACCACGAUGACUACUGCGUAUGGUACAGCCUGCAGAGGACCAGCCCUGAAAAGAAUGAGAGAGUCCGCCAGAUGCGCCCCGUGUGUGACUGCCAGGCUCACCUGCUCUGGAACCGGCCUCGGUUUGGAGAGAUCAAUGACCAGGACAGAACUGAUCGAUACGUCCAGGCUCUGAGGACC
rnacentral:sRNA from 1 species